AAAAAAGCGAUUGUGUUUCGCAAACAACAGAUCGGGUUUCUAAAAGCUAUUUCUUUUUCUUCUUCUUACCACCCCCCCCCUUUCUCUUCCUACUCCCUUCUCCUGAAUUCUGGGGAGAAAUUGGGGGAAGAGAGAAAGAGAAACUGAGAAGGAAAAGAAUGGAAGAAAAGAGGUGGAGAGAAAAAAAGACUCCUUAUGUACAUACUGGACCUUUGAUCAUAUCUGGGAUGGGAGCUUCCUGAAAGGAACUCCCACUUCCAAAGGCGAUCUGCACCAGCUCUGCAAUUUAGAAAUUUCCUUGGGGCACUGAAAGGUUAAGCAACUCGCCCUGGGUUACACAGAAUUCAGAGAAUCCUAAUAAAAUGUUUACACAAGACAAAUGUUCUAUUUAAUUCAAGAAACAUUUGCUCCGAGUGCCGUUUCCAAGUGCCCUUUGGGUUAUAUUAAAAAUAUUUCCUGCCCUCAAUGGGCUUAUAUUCUUGAGGGGAAAUACAAGGACAUAGAUAAGUAAAUAUAUUCAUAUGUAAUAAAUACAAAAGAAUAUGAAGGGGUGUGUGUAAAAAGCUUGAGGGCAUCGGGAAAGGUCCUUUGUGGAAGGUGACACCAAAGUUGAUAUUUUCUAAUUAAUCUAGGAACAUAUUAAUGCCUAGUAUUAUAUUAAUUUUUUAAACUAGUAGCAUGCUUGGCAUCUACAGGGAACAAAUAGCAAUAUGAGUUUCUAAAAAGUAAACCUCCAAAUUGAGAGAAUGUCAUCUGACUGAGAAAGAAGUGAAUUUAAGCUGUUACUAGAAAGCAAGAAUUUUAUAAUCUCCCUUAGUAGACUGUAAACUCCUUGAGAGUAAGAGAUCCUCUCUUGCUUAUUUUGGUAGCUUUGCAUUGCCUUUGACAUAGAAGGAGCUCAGUGUGGUUGGAUGACAGAAUAAGACCUGAGUGGGAAAACUAAACAGGGAAAACACAUCAUUCUUCUGGGCUGUGUGAUCAGUCUCUGGCAGAGGUCAUCUAAAGGAACAUUUCUGAAAGGUGGGUUCAAGAACUGGGAACAUAUAAAUAGCUAUGUCAGUCUAUAGAAUGCAUGAUGCUUAUAGAGAACAUGUUUCCUUAAGGUAUGCACUUCUAUGAGACUUUUUAUUGAAAAUAGGACAGUACUCUCUCAUAAUGGAAAGAACCCUGGAUUUGGAGUCAAACGACUUGAAUUUGAAUCUCAUUUCUGUAUCACUUUACACAGGUCAUUUCCUCUCUGUGUCUUAAUUUUCUCAUCUAAGGCUCCUUCCAAUUCUUACCUCUUAUGAACCCUGUUGAUCACUAUAAUAUGUAUGGGGCAGCAAGUAGAUAAGAGUGCCAGGCCUGGAGUCAGAAAAACUUAUUUUCCAGAGUUCAAAUCUCUAGCUGUGUGACCCUGGGCAAGUCACUUAUCCCUGCUGGCCUCAGUUUCCUCAUCUGUAAAAUGAGCUGGAGAAAGAAAUGUCAAACCGUUGCAGUAUUUUG